CCACAGAAAUCUCGGGGUACAUGCUCCAAGAGAAAGCUGACCAGGCCACUCACCUCGCUGCCCCCCUGCUCCGAGUGCUCCCCACUGCCCACCAUCACCGUGCCCUCCGACCUCUGGUGUGACAGCUCCAAUUUAUCCUCCCAAAUUCAACACAGACCACGUCUCUCCUGGAACAGUGCUUGUCAAGCAGAGAAAAUGACAGUAAACACAACCAUCGACCCAGCCGGCCAGGACCUGAGGUGAAGGGGUGAUGCGGUGACCAUCUUUGCUUCAGGCCCUCUAGUGGCUCCUGGGAAAGAGCCUCCAGUUCCAAGAAGACCUCAGACCUCAUGGGGUCCCGGGUGCGCCCCCUCCCCGUGCAGGAUCAGAAGAUCCUCUGGAUCUGGAAGGAUGAGCUCAUAGACUGUCUCCAGCAUCCCUCUUGUCACUGAGGACAGAGGACAGCCGAUCCCAUAAAGGGGGCCUUCGUCCCACCGUCGACUUGCUGGGUCUGCUUGGCACCGGGCCUCCGGGCUGCAUCCGACCCUCGAAGUUCCUGCUCGAGACUCACCACUCGACAUCCACGGAAUGACAUGUGUAGAUCAACUUUUGUGGCAUGAAGUAUUUUCAGCUUCGCAGCUGCGCCGAUUUAGAAGGGCUCGUUUCUGCAUUAGAAUGUGGUGCUCUGGAGUUAAUGACCUCUACAGAAUGCCACCUGUCACCCAGAGUGCCGUGGGUGACGGCCGAGAGAUGGGGAGGAGAUCGACGAGGAGGACCCGGACCGGGGUCUCCUGCUUUGCGGGGAUUGGAGACUGAACUUUCCAGACCCUGCCCGGCAGCACGGACUGCAACUCCGGGCGGGCAGCACAAGCUAUCUGGAUGGCUGGGCUUUCCAGAAACCCGAGCAGCUGGCAGCAGAUCGGGGCGACUGUCCUCUGCACCGUGGCGGAUGUGGUGGAGGGCUCUGGAGGCUUUGUCACGAGCACUUAUUAAAAUGGCUGCCAGGACCGAGUGUGCAAGCCCUGCUGUCUCUACUGGGCGCACGGGACUCCCGCGGCUCUGGGAGGGCGGCCCAGCUCCACUCCAGCGGCGGCCUGGGCCCGGCGGGACCCUGGGAGAGAGCUCUCGUCCCCCAGAACUGCCACCUCCCCUCCUGUCCCCGCCAGUCUCCUGCUGUGGAGGGCCUGGUCCCGGGGCGCCUGCCAGGGCACCUGGCUGACCUUGCACAUCUGUUGAAGGAGGUGGGUGGCGGCCCCAGGCCUCUGUGUCUCCAGCUGAUUCAUGUAACUAGGAAUUAGGGGCCCUGGGCUGGAGAGGCAGACGGGGGCUUGCACCCCGGGGGCGGUGGGGGGGGCUCGUGGCCUGCGGAGGGUGGGGGGUGGGGGCGGGCUACAGCCCAGGGUCUGCCCCAAGUCCCCUUGCAUCCCAUAGCCUUCUGUGUCCCUGCCUGGUCUGCAGCGGGGUCCCUGCAUCGUGCCCCCGCCUGGACACACCUGCAUUGUCCGCACUGCUGCCUCUGCCUCCAGGCUGACCGCCUGAGACCCCCGCCCGUGCUCCCCCUCGCCCCCCCCAUCACGCAGCACUAGCCCCCCUGCUCAGGUCCCUCAGGCCUCCUGGAGCCGACCUUGCUGUCAGGGUGGGACUGUCCAUCCCUCUGUCCUGGCCUGGCCGAGCCCAGCGCCGAGGCCUCCACCAUGGGGCUCCCCUCUUAGGAAGCUGGUGUGCAUGCACGUUGUCACCUGCACAGCCCGGUCUGUGUCACCGCGAUGUUCCGCUUGCUGCCAGGUCCCCUCAAACAGUAGCACCCUGCACUGCUGCCCAACGCAGAGGGGAGCCAGGACCUGGACUGGGCCUGGGGCUGUCCCCCAGUGUUAGAGAGCCUCUUCCUCCAGGAAGCCUCCCUGGAACACACUGCCUCCUCCCCCCUCCAGCACAGGGCAUGUUCAUCUGGGUGCUGGCUGUCACUGCAAGCUCAUGUCCUCCUAUAUUAGGCUCUGAGCUCUGGGCACAACUUCAGGCCACUAGGGGACUGGCGGCCUGAUUCCCCAGCAAACUGCUUCAUCUGUG
rnacentral:lncRNA from 1 species